AUUGAACGCUGGCGGCAUGCUUUACACAUGCAAGUCGAACGGCAGCACGGGCUUCGGCCUGGUGGCGAGUGGCGAACGGGUGAGUAAUAUAUCGGAACGUACCCAGAAGUGGGGGAUAACGUAGCGAAAGUUACGCUAAUACCGCAUACGAUCUAUGGAUGAAAGCAGGGGACCGCAAGGCCUUGUGCUCCUGGAGCGGCCGAUAUCUGAUUAGCUAGUUGGUGAGGUAAAGGCUCACCAAGGCGACGAUCAGUAGCUGGUCUGAGAGGACGACCAGCCACACUGGAACUGAGACACGGUCCAGACUCCUACGGGGGGCAGCAGUGGGGAAUUUUGGACAAAGGGCGCAAGCCUGAUCCAGCAAUGCCGCGUGAGCGAAGAAGGCCUUCGGGUUGUAAAGCUCUUUUGUCAGGGAAGAAACGGUAGAGGCUAAUAUCCUUUGCUAAUGACGGUACCUGAAGAAUAAGCACCGGCUAACUACGUG
rnacentral:rRNA from 1 species